ensembl:lncRNA
GCUACACUUCACUGUUGAACUUAACCAAGGCUUUUCUUAUCCUGCUUUCAAGAAAAGUGCUUUCUCAUUCUGGUGCUAAAAGCAUCCAAGGUCUUCUUCCCAGAUGCUGCUUCUUUUGUCUCUUUCUCCCGAUGCAUCAAUUAAGAAUUCUUUGAUGACCGGAGCUUCCUCUGUCAGAGAGCUCAGUAUUCAUCAACUAAUUAACUCUCCAAAGAAAGCUGAGCUGCUCUGUCUGUCUGUGCUUUCUUACUCUCUCGGUGGCUCUUCUGCUUCCUGCUUCCUGCUGUGGCCCGAAGAGCAAAGUGGGGAGAUCACCCUCAGGGGCUGUAGGGCCUCAGGCUUCAGUUCAUGCUUUUGUUUUUCUAGUUAGGAGAGACCUUCCUUGAUAAAAAGCUAUUCAUUUCAUUACUCAGCCUUCCACAGAAGCAAGAAUUGUUAUUUUUCAGCUGGCUUCAAAAUGUCAAAUCUCUUGUCUAGAAUGAAAACCCAGCACUUGGAAGAUGUCAGCAUUCUUCAUACCAGAGAAGACCACCUGAGGCCAGACUAAAGGAACUGGAGAAGCUCAUCAAGAUUACCUGGGACCACAUGUAGGGAAUGCAGAUCCUGUACAUGCUCUAAUCAUAUAAGCAACCCCAUCCUUGAACUAUUGCCAUAAAACUCCUCACCAAACUACCCUGGAUGGGGAGACACAGUUUUUGAGGAUAGGAGCCCACUGUGUCC